rnacentral:rRNA from 1 species
AGUGAACGCUGGCGGUAGGCCUAACACAUGCAAGUCGAACGGCAGCACAGUAAGAGCUUGCUCUUACGGGUGGCGAGUGGCGGACGGGUGAGGAAUACAUCGGAAUCUACUUUUUCGUGGGGGAUAACGUAGGGAAACUUACGCUAAUACCGCAUACGACCUACGGGUGAAAGCAGGGGAUCUUCGGACCUUGCGCGAUUGAAUGAGCCGAUGUCGGAUUAGCUAGUUGGCGGGGUAAAGGCCCACCAAGGCGACGAUCCGUAGCUGGUCUGAGAGGAUGAUCAGCCACACUGGAACUGAGACGCGGUCCAGACUCCUACGGGAGGCAGCAGUGGGGAAUAUUGGACAAUGGGCGCAAGCCUGAUCCAGCCAUACCGCGUGGGUGAAGAGGGCCUUCGGGUUGUAAAGCCCUUUUGUUGGGAAAGAAAAGCAGCAGGUUAAUACCCCGCUGUUCUGACGUUACCCAAAGAAUAAGCACCGGCUAACUUCGUG